GAUGACGUAUGAUUCUACGCAGAAGGUGGCAUCUUUAAAGGUCCGGAAUAAAUUGGAUUAAUUUGCUCCUCUACGCCCUUUUUAAGGAAUGUAUUGUCGGACUUAAAUCAACAUCUGAAGAGUGCUCUGUAAGGCUUUUUCCUGGGGAUAUUCAUUACACUUCUACCCGGCGUGAAGCACUCACAGUCAUGUGGUUGUGACGUCAUCGUAAACAAAUCCGUUCUACUCAUCCAGACGACUUCACAACGGCAACGUUGCCAGAUCUUUCCACUCUGGAACCCGUUCUCAAAAAGAUUGCGUUUUGGGCACCCAAAACGCCGGUGCCGUGUGGACGCCAGGCCUAAACGAUAAGCAAUUGUAUCGGAGUCACCUGAAUCCGUUGCCGUGUGGACAGGGCCUUUGUUUCUAACCCUAACCAGACUUCACAAUGUCACAACCAAGGCAACCAAGAAGGAUCAGUUCUAACCCUAACCCCAAAUCCUGGAUCUAACCCCAACCUGAGCUCACCCCUAAUCCAACCCCUAGCCUUAGCCCCUAGCCCAAAACCUAGCCUCAAAUAAUAAUGGAAUAAUAACCCAAAUAUAACAUGGGGGUACUGACCAGGCACUUGUGGAGCAUUGAGGAUGGGGCUUGGGAAGGACAGUGCACAACACGGCCUUGGCCUAGGCCAGGACGUGGAUCUUUCCAGAAACCCUAACCCUAACCCAAGUAUGUGAUUGAGCAGGACAGUUCAGACACAGAGGCCACAUCAGAUGAGAAGGAAGACACAAUGCACAUCAACCCCCCUUGUAAUAAAAAAACAAAAAGUUGCAGAUGUGGGCAUAACACCUGGAUCCACAGAGAAGGCGAAAGAUGGCACUGUGUGGUUCCACCACAAAGUUGGAGAUUUUUCUGUUCAUGAAACUCCACAGACAGCAUUCAAUGGAUCUGGAGGGCCAACAGAGUUUGCAACACGCAAAAUCAUGAGUUGCCUUCAAAGCUUCCUGUAUUUGUUGGAUAUCAGCAUGUUGUUGGCCAUCAGAGACUGCACAGUCCAGGAGGGCCAUAGAACAAAUCCCAGCUGGCAGAUGAGUGUCUUCGAGCUGAUGGCGUUCCUCGCAAUCCUUUUUCGAAGGGCUGCCAAGGGCUACAUUGGUGCCAUGCGACUCAUGUGGGCCAAUAGAUUCGGCACCCCAGAUAUCAAAGCCAUAAUGCCCCUUAACCGCUUUCUUGAAAUAAAGCGGUACCUUCGCUUCGACAACAAGGACACCCGCAAGGAGCGCAUACAAACGGACAAAUUUGCAGCAAUUUCAGACAUCUGGCAGGAGUUUGUUCAGAAUUGUGUGUCGUCCUACAGUCCAGGGCAACAUGUUACCAUGCAUGAGCAGUUAUUUCCUUCAAAGGUUCGUUGUCCCUUUCUGCAGUACAUUGCAUCCAACCCUGACAAGUUUGGAAUCAAGUUUUGGAUUGCAGCAGAUCUGGACACAAAAUACAUGUGUAAUGCCAUCCCUUACUUGGGAAAAGAUCCCACUCGUCCAAUGGGAGAGAGGCUAUCAGAGAAUGUUGUUUUGAAAUUGAUGGAACCAUUUACCGUAUGGACCAGGGAAGGACUGUAACUAUGGAUAAUUUCUUCACCUCUCUGUCUUUGGCUAACAGGCUUCUUCAACGAAAAACAACUCUGCUUGGCACUAUCAACAAAAAUCGUCAGGAGCUACCAGCAACUGCAAAGGAAACCUCGGGGUGCCAGUUGUACUCCACACAGGUGUUCACAUCUGGAAGUGCCUUGCUGAUGGUGUUUGCAAAAAAUAAAAAAUAAAUCUGUUUGUCUUCUGAGCACCAUGUAUCAGAAAGUGGAAAUUGUGGACACCCAAAAACAAAAAACAAACACUGUUGUUGAUUACAACCAUUUCAAAUGCAGCAUUGAUAUCAUGGACCAGAAAUUACGCAACUACUUGGUGCGUGCAGGAACACGGAGAUGGCCCAUGGCUGUGUUUUACAACCUGCUUGACAUGGCUGUCACAAAUGCUCAUGUCUUGUACACAGCAUGUACAGGAUCCAAAGAAAGUCCCCAAUUGUUCAUGCUGGAGCUUGCAGAGGAACUUCAAAACAGGCUUUUGCAGGAAAAGGCACAAGGGGAAGAACACAAACAGCAGCGUGAGAUGAAAGUUUCUCAGAAGAAAAAGACAGUGCCAGGUGCACAUACUCUGCAAUAAUAACAGAAGCACUGAACUUUGUGUACGCUGCCACAAAUACACCUGUGGCAAAUGUACCAUAGGAAAGACUCACCAUAGGAAUGUGGAAACUACUAGAUGGGACAAUUGUAUGCUACAUUUCUGUGCUUUGUAUAGCCUCCAUGUGUAGUGAGCCUGCUUUUCUUAGUGUGAAAUAAAUGUUUAUUUUCUUCCUGAA